rnacentral:rRNA from 1 species
UUGAUGGCGACCGGCGCACGGGUGAGUAACACGUAUCCAACCUGCCGAUGACUCGGGGAUAGCCUUUCGAAAGAAAGAUUAAUACCCGAUGGCAUAGUUCUUCCGCAUGGUGGAACUAUUAAAGAAUUUCGGUCAUCGAUGGGGAUGCGUUCCAUUAGGUUGUUGGCGGGGUAACGGGCCCACCAAGCCUUCGAUGGAUAGGGGUUCUGAGAGGAAGGUCCCCCACAUUGGAACUGAGACACGGUCCAAACUCCUACGGGAGGCAGCAUG